UUAUUUACUAAUUGAAUGAUUGUCUACAAAUCAGACUUCUAUUUUGUCAUAUUAUCAAUAAUCUCAUCAAGCCUUUGAUGGAUAGAAGGAUUCACAAUGGAAUGAGGGUUUUGAGGAGCAGAGGCAACGUCUUUUGCUUUAGUAGGUUCUGAGAAGUGAAGAUUCUGGUUCUGAAUCAAGAACAACAAUUUGGGGGUUGAAUAUCAUGAUGACACUCUAAGAUCAUAGUUCUAGUGGGUGAUGUAUAGAAGUAAUUGUAGUAGUGGAAAGGUGAGAGAGCUUCAUAAAAAUGAUAUUCAAAAGGAAAAUUAUCGUCCUACUCAAUUCUCAUAUUAA